GGUGGCCGAGAGUUCAGCUGGCCCAAGCCCUAAAUAUUUGGCAGCUGGACCCUCGAGGAUGAGGCAACCAUCCUCAUCUAAUGAGGAAUCCGAAGAGGAGGCAGGCUCUGCUGGACAUAGCAUAGGAUCGAUUCCAGCUCCUAAGCUCCGUUCCCGGAAACGUCAGCAUGCGCCCUCCGACGAUUCCGACGAGGAGUCGACGUCCAGCAAGAGGAGGCGCACUAAAGCCGAGCAGAAAGAA